CGUAACAAGGUCUCCGUAGGUGAACCUGCGGAGGGAUCAUUACACAAAUAUGAAGGCGGGCUGGAACCUCUCGGGGUUACAGCCUUGCUGAAUUAUUCACCCUUGUCUUUUGCGUACUUCUUGUUUCCUUGGUGGGUUCGCCCACCACUAGGACAAACAUAAACCUUUUGUAAUUGCAAUCAGCGUCAGUAACAAAUUAAUAAUUACAACUUUCAACAACGGAUCUCUUGGUUCUGGCAUCGAUGAAGAACGCAGCGAAAUGCGAUAAGUAGUGUGAAUUGCAGAAUUCAGUGAAUCAUCGAAUCUUUGAACGCACUUUGCGCCCUUUGGUAUUCCAAAGGGCAUGCCUGUUCGAGCGUCAUUUGUACCCUCAAGCUUUGCUUGGUGUUGGGCGUCUUGUCUCUAGCUUUGCUGGAGACUCGCCUUAAAGUAAUUGGCAGCCGGCCUACUGGUUUCGGAGCGCAGCACAAGUCGCACUCUCUAUCAGCAAAGGUCUAGCAUCCAUUAAGCCUUUUUUUCAACUUUUGACCUCGGAUCAGGUAGGGAUACCCGCUGAACUUAAGCAUAUCA
rnacentral:rRNA from 1 species